rnacentral:rRNA from 1 species
UACGUAGGGUGCAAGCGUUGUCCGGAAUUAUUGGGCGUAAAGAGCUUGUAGGCGGUCUGUCACGUCGAUUGUGAAAACUUGGGGCUCAACUCCAAGCUUGCAGUCGAUACGGGCAGACUAGAGUACUUCAGGGGAGACUGGAAUUCCUGGUGUAGCGGUGAAACGCGCAGAUAUCAGGAGGAACACCGGUGGCGAAGGCGGGUCUCUGGGAAGUAACUGACGCUGAGAAGCGAAAGCGUGGGUAGCGAACAGG